rnacentral:rRNA from 1 species
UACAGAGGUCUCAAGCGUUGUUCGGAUUCAUUGGGCGUAAAGGGUGCGUAGGUGGCGCCAUAAGUCGGGUGUGAAAUCUCGGGGCUUAACUCCGAAACUGCACUCGAUACUGUGGUGCUCGAGGACUGGAGAGGAGACUGGAAUUCAUGGUGUAGCAGUGAAAUGCGUAGAGAUCAUGAGGAAGACCAGUGGCGAAGGCGGGUCUCUGGACAGUUCCUGACACUGAGGCACGAAGGCCAGGGGAGCAAACGGG